rnacentral:rRNA from 1 species
UACGUAGGCAGCAAGCGUUGUUCGGAGUUACUGGGCGUAAAGGGUGUGUAGGCGGUUGUUUAAGUUUGGUGUGAAAUCUCCCGGCUCAACUGGGAGGGUGCGCCGAAUACUGAAUGACUAGAGUGCGGGAGAGGAAAGUGGAAUUCCUGGUGUAGCGGUGAAAUGCGUAGAUAUCAGGAGGAACACCGGUGGUGUAGACGGCUUUCUGGACCGUAACUGACACUGAGAGACGAAAGCGUGGGAGCAAUGGG